UACGGAGGGUGCAAGCGUUAUCCGGAUUCACUGGGUUUAAAGGGUGCGUAGGCGGGCAGGUAAGUCAGUGGUGAAAUCUCCGAGCUUAACUCGGAAACUGCCGUUGAUACUAUUUGUCUUGAAUAUUGUGGAGGUAAGCGGAAUAUGUCAUGUAGCGGUGAAAUGCUUAGAUAUGAUAUAGAACACCAAUUGCGAAGGCAGCUUACUACACAAUUAUUGACGCUGAGGCACGAAAGCGUGGGGAUCAAACAGG
rnacentral:rRNA from 1 species